AGACCGAUAGCGAACAAGUAGAGUGAUCGAAAGAUGAAAAGCACUUUGAAAAGAGAGUUAAAAAGUACGUGAAAUUGUUGAAAGGGAAGCGUUUAUGACCAGACUUGGGCUUGGUUAAUCAUCUGGGGUUCUCCCCAGUGCACUUUUCCAGUCCAGGCCAGCAUCAGUUUUCCCCGGGGGAUAAAGACGGCGGGAAUGUGGCUCUCUUCGGGGAGUGUUAUAGCCCACCGUGUAAUACCCUGGGGGGGACUGAGGUUCGCGCAUCUGCAAGGAUGCUGGCGUAAUGGUCAUCAACGACCCGUCUUGAAACACGGACCAAG
rnacentral:rRNA from 1 species